rnacentral:rRNA from 1 species
AACGAACGCUGGCGGCAGGCUUAACACAUGCAAGUCGAACGGCUGUAACAAUACAGCAGUGGCAGACGGGUGAGUAACACGUGGGAACCUUCCUAGGGGUACGGAACAACUCAGGGAAACUUGAGCUAAUACCGUAUACGUCCGUGAGGAGAAAGAUUUAUCGCCCUUAGACGGGCCCGCGUCGGAUUAGGUAGUUGGUGGGGUAACGGCCUACCAAGCCUACGAUCCGUAGCUGAUCUGAGAGGAUGACCAGCCAAACUGGGACGGGGACACGGCCCAGACUCCUACGGGAGGCAGCAGUGGGGAAUCUUGGACAAUGGGCGCAAGCCUGAUCCAGCCAUGCCGCGUGAGUGAAGAAGGCCUUAGGGUUGUAAAGCUCUUUUGCCAGGGACGAUAAUGACGGUACCUGGAGAAUAAGCCCCGGCAAACUUCGUGCCAGCAGCCGCCGUAA